UUUUGUAUAAGAUUUAUUCUUACAAGUAUAGCAGGAGUUGUAACUUUUGUAGUAGGCACACCAAAUAUUUUAAUUCCUUUGAUUGGUUACUUAAGUUUAAAUAAUUGAGAGUAACCCUGCAAUUGUCCUCUAAAAAUAAAUUUUUCCUUCCGGGGACCAGUGAACAGUUGCAUGAUUUAUAGUUAUAAACAAGAGAUGCGUUUCCCGUUUGGUAAAUGGUAAGUAUAGGUAUUGACAUGGAAUUAUUUAAAUUUUGAUGAUAUCUGCUUAACAAUAUACCCCUGGACCCACUAUGGAAAUGAGCUUCAUAAUUAUUAUUUUAUUUGACUGUGUCAUUAAUUAACACUUUGAACGAAUUGUCACCGGAACCUUUUUAGUUUAUGUGUCUCCGUCAAAUCUUGAUCGUCAUUUGUGUACUAAUUUCAUUGGAGAAGCGCUCAAACCCACUGUCACGAUGUAACGAAAGACGUUUGUUGUAAAUUUGAAACGUAUUUUUGUAUUUGUGACUUGUCGAGGUAGAGAGAACAAGAGUAUUGACUGAAAAAAGUAGGAUAUGUGCCUCGCAUUAAUUUCAAGUGCAUUUAGUACCAUGAAUCGCGUUUGAAAGAUUAAAAACCGCGAUUAGAUACCCGUUAUCACAGUUUCACGAUAUUGUCUGCUAAUGACAGUACACGUAAAUUUUUCAGUAAAGGUUGGGUGACGAUAAGUGCCAAAAAAUGGUGAAAACAAAACCCUUUUACAUCUUGGCCGCAAGCUUCACAUCUGCGGCCGCAGCCAUCCUAUCAAUCAUUUCGUUAAGCACCGAGAAUUGGGUUACGGCAAAAGGUCAAUUCGUGAUCAUCAACGAACCCCCCAGUGAAAUAAGGUAUGGACUGUUUACUGGUCUCCUUAUUCAAUCAUUAGGGGGAUCACAAAGGAUACCACUUUAUGUUACUUGUUUAGUUUCAAAAAACGUUUGUGGAUACUUAUGCGAUUCGGGACAGGAUCGACAGGAUGAUCUAGAGAAGAUGUGGAACAAUGAAAAGGUACCGUUCACGUGUUACUUGCAACAUGCACGUUCAAUCACGACCAGAAAAGAUGCAAAUUCAAGCUUAAUUCCUAAAACAGAGCUAAAAGCUGAUGAUAGUGAACGUGAAUUUAUUAAUGCUGGUUUGUACAUAUCGACAGUAGUCUUUUUGGGAAUUUCCGCCAUUUUUGGGCUAAUAGCGGCAGCUCUUUCGGUUUGGAACACAGCCGGAAAUCCUAUCGAAGUUAUCGUUAGUAUCUACGGAAUUUACAUUUACAACGCUAUUGCAUGCAUCGCUUCGGCUGUGACCUUGGCACUUUGGGGUGCUUUGUUUGGUAUUACAAUUCUACACAAUAUUGGUAUUUUCCAUACUAUACAAGGUGACAUGAAAACGUACGAUACACCAAUGCUUGGAUUCUCCUAUUGGUUAAAUGUACCGAGCUGUAUGUUAUAUGGUGCAAGUAUAUUCAUACUGUAUUUGAGAGACUACUUCAUUCGUCUAGAACCUGAAGUCAAAAUUCACAUCACUGCUAGGGAAAAGGACGUUGGUGAUAUAAUGAUUUUUUAGAAAACGAAACAAUUGUAAAUAUAUAGUUUUUCAAUAAUAUGUAGUAUGCACCUACCUCUUCCCCAAAGGUAUUCGGAAUUUGCCCUGCUAUAGCGAAGUUAUCUUUUAUCAACAAACUGAUAAGAUAACUUUCCUUAUUACUCACAUUAGUAUUUACCUGUUGCAAGAUAAACUUAGAAAACCCAUGUAACCAGGAAUAUACCUAUAGUAUGACAAACAGGAAAGUCGGAUAUAUUUUGUUUGCUACCUUUACCUCAUCAAUAGGGAUACUUUUGUCAAUAGUGUCACUAUGUACAGAAAAUUGGAUACAAAGCAAAGGGGAAUUCACGAUUGGCGAUUUUAGUAACGAGCAAUUGAGUGAAAUAAAGUAUGGGUUAUUUUCUGGGACAUUUAUGCAGAAUAUGGGAGGAACAAAGUACUACACUCUUUACGCCACCUGUUCCCUCUCGACAAACAUUUGCGCGUACCUUUGCACCGGCACUUCAGAGGGACGAAAGGCAGAGCUUGAUAGGCUGUAUCGCAACGAACAAGUUGAGUUUUCCUGUCCCGCUAUUAGUAGGCUGCUUAACCAAGU